GUUGGCUCGGAGGACAUUAAUGAAUGAAAUUGAGUGGGGUUGUAGCUGGCCUUUCACCGGGCAUGUGCACACCUCAUUCGACCACCUUCUACACCCCUGUGCACUUCUCAUGAGUUGGGCCGCGUCUGAAACACGACAAAGUCCGGCUCGUGUGUUUUAUACAAACGAAUCAUGUUACAGAAUGUCACUACCAUGCUUUGAAGCAUAUAAUACAACUUUCAACAACGGAUCUCUUGGCUCUCGCAUCGAUGAAGAACGCAGCGAAAUGCGAUAAGUAAUGUGAAUUGCAGAAUUCAGUGAAUCAUCGAAUCUUUGAACGCACCUUGCGCUCCUUGGUAUUCCGAGGAGCAUGCUUGUUUGAGUGUCAUGGUCUUCUCAACCCUUCCGUCUUUUUCACCGGAGACUGUCGGGCUUGGAUGUGGAGGUCUUGCAGGCAUCUGGAUCUUUUUGAUCCAAAAGCCGCUUCCUCGGAAUGGCUUAACUUUGAUUAGAACCAACCUGGAUCCACCGGG
rnacentral:rRNA from 1 species